AUUCUAGAGUUUGAUCAUGGCUCAGGACGAACGCUGGCGGCGUGCCUAAUACAUGCAAGUCGAGCGGACAGAAGGGAGCUUGCUCCCGGAUGUUAGCGGCGGACGGGUGAGUAACACGUGGGUAACCUGCCUGUAAGACUGGGAUAACUCCGGGAAACCGGAGCUAAUACCGGAUAGUUCCUUGAACCGCAUGGUUCAAGGAUGAAAGACGGUUUCGGCUGUCACUUACAGAUGGACCCGCGGCGCAUUAGCUAGUUGGUGGGGUAAUGGCUCACCAAGGCGACGAUGCGUAGCCGACCUGAGAGGGUGAUCGGCCACACUGGGACUGAGACACGGCCCAGACUCCUACGGGAGGCAGCAGUAGGGAAUCUUCCGCAAUGGACGAAAGUCUGACGGAGCAACGCCGCGUGAGUGAUGAAGGUUUUCGGAUCGUAAAGCUCUGUUGUUAGGGAAGAACAAGUGCGAGAGUAACUGCUCGCACCUUGACGGUACCUAACCAGAAAGCCACGGCUAACUACGUGCCAGCAGCCGCGGUAAUACAUAGGUGGCAAGCGUUGUCCGGAAUUAUUGGGCGUAAAGGGCUCGCAGGCGGUUUCUUAAGUCUGAUGUGAAAGCCCCCGGCUCAACCGGGGGAGGGUCAUUGGAAACUGGGAAACUUGAGUGCAGAAGAGGAGAGUGGAAUUCCACGUGUAGCGGUGAAAUGCGUAGAGAUGUGGAGGAACACCAGUGGCGAAGGCGACUCUCUGGUCUGUAACUGACGCUGAGGAGCGAAAGCGUGGGGAGCGAACAGGAUUAGAUACCCUGGUAGUCCACGCCGUAAACGAUGAGUGCUAAGUGUUAGGGGGUUUCCGCCCCUUAGUGCUGCAGCUAACGCAUUAAGCACUCCGCCUGGGGAGUACGGUCGCAAGACUGAAACUCAAAGGAAUUGACGGGGGCCCGCACAAGCGGUGGAGCAUGUGGUUUAAUUCGAAGCAACGCGAAGAACCUUACCAGGUCUUGACAUCCUCUGACAACCCUAGAGAUAGGGCUUUCCCUUCGGGGACAGAGUGACAGGUGGUGCAUGGUUGUCGUCAGCUCGUGUCGUGAGAUGUUGGGUUAAGUCCCGCAACGAGCGCAACCCUUGAUCUUAGUUGCCAGCAUUCAGUUGGGCACUCUAAGGUGACUGCCGGUGACAAACCGGAGGAAGGUGGGGAUGACGUCAAAUCAUCAUGCCCCUUAUGACCUGGGCUACACACGUGCUACAAUGGACAGAACAAAGGGCUGCAAGACCGCAAGGUUUAGCCAAUCCCAUAAAUCUGUUCUCAGUUCGGAUCGCAGUCUGCAACUCGACUGCGUGAAGCUGGAAUCGCUAGUAAUCGCGGAUCAGCAUGCCGCGGUGAAUACGUUCCCGGGCCUUGUACACACCGCCCGUCACACGGUACCAU
rnacentral:rRNA from 1 species